UACGGAGGGGGCUAGCGUUGUUCGGAAUUACUGGGCGUAAAGCGCACGUAGGCGGAUUCUUAAGUCGGUGGUGAAAUCCUGGAGCUCAACUCCAGAACUGCCUUCGAUACUGGGAAUCUUGAGUUCGGGAGAGGUAAGUGGAACUGCGAGUGUAGAGGUGAAAUUCGUAGAUAUUCGCAAGAACACCAGUGGCGAAGGCGGCUCACUGGCCCGGUACUGACGCUGAGGUGCGAAAGCGUGGGGAGCAAACAGGG
rnacentral:rRNA from 1 species